UGGCCACUAACCCAUUCAUUUGCCUUUCACUAUGCUGCUUGUGACUUGCUUCUAUAAAAGCAAGCCUUAUGAAACACAACAUAGACAUAGAUGAAUGUGAGAGGUUCACGGGAGAGAAAGGAAGAAAAAGAAAGAGGAAGAGAGAAAUGAGAGGAAGAGGAGAUGAGAUAAUAGAGAGAGUUAUCUUUGUACUCCUAUUAUUUCAAAUUAUAAUGAAAGCACCACUGCUGCCCCGAGGACGUACUCUAGUCACACUGACUGUAGAGGAACCUCGUAAAUUUUGUGUCUUGUUUCAUUUAUUCCACUGCACCCACAGUCGAUUUUACAACACGUUAUCAGCACAAGUUGCUCUCGUGUCGGUGGAAAGAAACGAGAAUUGUUGGCCUUAUCUCAGACCCAUGGAGAAAUCACAAGAUCAGCUUGAGCUCCAUUUGGCUUGCUGUCAUCUUUGGUUACUGUUGAUGACCUGCAUGAGCAAGCAGGCACCUAAUAUCAUCAUCUUCAAGGACUCGAGAUGGAGCAUCUUCACCAUGGCACUCAUCUGCCUUAUCGUCGCUGGCGUCGGAGGACAGACUCUGUCAUCCUCACCUGACGGCUGCGCCCGCGCUGUCCGAUGUCCCUUCAGAACACGUGAUGAUCUGCUUAAGCAGCAGCUGCAAGCGGAGAUCAAAGAAGACGGCAAACUCCAUGUCACUGUCAACAAAACUUCUCUGUAAUAGGCAGGAAGCAGCCGCACCAAUAACAUAGAGAUUCACAUCAAGAAGGAUGGUAUAAAACUUUUCUUUGAUCUUUCAUGGCAUUAGCUUUUGUUUCUCUAUUUUUGCAGAAGUUGCAGAUGCAUGCUGGCGCAAAUAAUGGAGAUGGAAAGCUUGUCUGAUCUACCAUGUUUGACAACCACACCAUAGCCUACACCACCAUGUGUAAAGAUAAAUAAAAUAAAGAAAAGGUUUUUGGUGAUUUGGCACCAUGUGGAAGAAAUAAUAAACAAAGAAAAGAAAUUGGAAAUGAAGACAAAGGUGCACGACACCAUGUGGAAAGUAAGAAAAAAAUAAUAAUAAUAAUAACAAAAAGACAAGGAGGAAUAAUACAUAAUCAGGAAAUAAGGAAAGAGACUGAUGAGCUUGAAAAAGGUAAAAAUCAAAGGAAUUGUGCAGCAUGUGACAAAAUAAAAGGUUUUGAUACUAUUUAUUUAUAUGAAUGGUGUUGGCUUAAAACACUUUCACAAGCUCUAUUUAUUUAAAGCAAUUUAUUUACAGUGGGUAGAAUUAUUACCCUUUGCUUUAAAGCUUUGAUAUUUAUGUGCAUGGUGUUGGUUUAAAGCCCAUGUCACAAGUUCUAUUUACUUUAAAGCAAUUUAUUUAUCAUGGACGGUUUUACCACCUACUGCUUUAAGUUUUGAUUUAUGUGAAUGGUGCUGAAUUAAAGCCCUUGUCACAAGCUUUAUUUACUUAAAUGCAAUUUAUUUACUAUGGCUAGAAUUACCGCCUAUUGCUUUAAUUUAUUUAUUGUACUUAUCUUUUGUUACAAUGAGUAUAACAAGGACCCAGAGUUCCUUGAUUAGAUUAGAACCUGCAGUUUCUUGAUCCUCAUCACAUAAAAUGAUAGGACCCGAAGUUCCAUCAUACAAAAAGAUCAGGCAUGAAGUCCUUUGAUCCUGAAGAUCAGGACAUGAAAUUUCUUGAUGAGUACCGUAAGUUUAAAGUGCUGCAGUGCCUCAACUUAACCAUAAUAAAUGACAUAAGAGUCUCGGUUAACAGACUAUUAAACAAGGACCAGAAGUUCCUUAUGUCCAUACUUAAAAUGGUUUAGCAGAAGCAUUUAUUAAGUGGGUGAAAUUGAUUACCAACACUCUGCUCAUGAAAACGAAAUUGCCAGUUUUCUACAUGAGGACAUGUAAACUUUACAUGAUGCAUUAUUAAUUCGGUUGAGAUAUGUUAUCAACCAUCAAUACUUCUCAGUACAACUCGGGUUUGGGAACCAACCAAACAUUAUACAUUUACGAGUUUUUGGUUGUGUUAUCUAUAUGCCUAUUGCACUGCCACAACGUACUGAAAUGGGUAUUAAUGUUGAACAUCAUCUAUCAUUCAAUAUUUAGAACCCUUGACUGGGGAUAUGUUUACCAUGUGGUUUGCGGACUAUCAUUUUGAUAAGACAAUUUUCCCGCCGUUAGGGGGAGAAAAUAACAUCGUUCCAGAAGAACGAUGAGAAAAUAUCAUUCCAGAAGAAUGAUGAGAAAAUAUCAUUCCAGAAGAAUGAUGAGAAAAUAUCAUUCCAGAAGAACGAAGAUAAUUUGUCUUAUUUGGAUUCACGAAACAAACAAUGAGAAAAUGAAAUUGGAAUAAUUGAAUGAUGCAACGAAAGUGAUGAAAUCACAUAUACUUACUGCAAAUGUGCCUACAAGAAUUGAUGUCCUCAUUGGACAAUAUAAUGAGGCAGUAAAUGAUUUAUCUGUUGCACGUCUGAAGUGUGGCAAACCUUUAGACUCAAAAGGUUCAGUCAUUCGAAAAAAAAAAAAGGAAUAUGGCACUACUGAACUAUUGCAUUCCUGAAGCAUAAUUGUUGCAUGCCAGAAGCAUGACAGUCGCUGCAUGGAUAAUACGUUCUAGAAAGGACAAUCCGCAGACAUGGGAAUAUUGAUGUCUUUUGCAUGUAGCAUGAUAGACGUAUAGGUUCCAAUGACUCAACUCCUAGAAGUGGAGAUUAAAAUCCAAGCUCUAUAAUGCUCAAAAUGAGGUUAUGAUCCGAAUUCUCUAAAUUACGACUAUCCUGGAAGAGAUAGUAUAAUGCCCUUGAAGAGGCAAUGGAUAUCCAAAAGAAAUAAAAAAAGGCUUUUAUGCAUGCGCAUGCAUAUGAGAAUAUGGGAUCACGGAUUGAUGAUAACCAAUGAUAAUUUUGGUUUUUACAAGUAGCUACUAAAUUCAUCAAUGAGCUGUGUUAAUAUUGAGUCACGUUCUUUUGUUUGUCGACAAAAGGAAAUUAUUGGCCAAAAAUGGAGAAAGGCAAUUCCAUUACAAUUUUGUAAGAACGUGGGCAAGUGAACCUAUAUAUAUUUGAAUACAAUACAAAUAGUCAAAGGAUGUUGAACCAAGGAGGUUAUAUAUGGGCAUUUGUAAUACAGUGUAAUACACUUAUAUGAUAUGACACAAGGUUGUAAACGAGUUCAUAUGAAUGGAGAAUUAUAUAUGAAGGGUUGUGAGUCGCCCACAUUAUAUCUCCAUAAGUAAAUCCCUCAAGUAUACAUGGGAGCAAAUUGCUCUGUAUAAAUUCCAAAGGAAAAUGUGUCAUGAAGUGUAGAAAAUCCCUAAAGGAUUCAAACUGCUUGAAGUAAGCCCCUGAAGGGUAAAACAUAAAAUAUGUACUCAAUACCAAUGGAUGAUAUAAAUUGCCUUAGUGAGUACUAUCAUUAUAAUAUUGUUGCAACAUACUAAAAUCUCUUGCAAGAGUCAAUGACAUUAAAUUAGAACUCUUGAAGAGUUGAUGAUAUUAAAUUGGGACUCCUGAAGAGUCUAGAAAAAAUUAUAAAGUGUUGAAGGAAUUAUUGUCUCGAGCUGCAGAUCGAACAAUCUACCAAUACGAAUCUUAUCCAUGAUAUUUAUGAUAUUAAAAGAACCAUAUGGAUUGAAGAUUAUGAGUUGAAUACUCAUAUGAUGAAGACACUAAGAAUAAUCAUUUAUCUUCGUAAGGGUAAAGAUAAAUUAAUAUUUGGUCCAGAAGUACCACAUCUUAGUGAAGUAUAUGCUUUAUUGUAUUUAGCACAAUACAUUGAAUGAAAUAAAGCUUAUUUAUUAAUAUCUCCAAGAAAUUACAGAUAUAUACAUACACAUGAGUUAAAACAAACCAAACAGGAUGGAGCCUUCACAAAGGUUGCUCAUACCCCAGAAGGAGGAGGCACUGGAGAUUGAUCAUGUGGCACCCCAGUACUUAGCAAAACACCAGAAGGGGAAGGCAUCAGUUGCUUUCGGAAUCUAGCAACGAACCUCUGGUGAUCACUUUAAUCCGACUUUCGGAUUCCUGCAGUUGGAUGAGCUUUCUUUUCAUGCUCGUAGAGUAACUAUUUGCAAGCACGUGUAACACCCUAUUCUCGUGCUUGAGCCCUCUGAUCUCUUGUUUAAUUCUUGCCACAUCCGCCAUCAAUGAUUCAACUUGGCGAGUUUGAGCAAGUAGGCGUUGGCCCAUAUUGGACACAGAGCCAGCACACUGAACACUGAGAGCCAAGGAGUCUUGAACGGCCGACUCUUCAGACCGUUCUGAAAGGAUCUUGUUAUCCCUUGGAGUGAGAAGAUUCCUAGCUACCACAGUAGCGGUUAUGUUAUUCUUCAUCACAGAGUCCCCAACCGUAAGAGGACCAUUAGAAGAUAAGAAGGACGGGCGCCAUAUAUUAUCCUGACGCUGCUCGUCUGUAUCACUCAUAAGACUCAAAUCUAAGCAAAUGUUAGAUGGGCAAGUAAUUUUUCAGAAAUGAUGAAGGAAAAACAGAGGUCAAAUAAAAUUUCAAAUGUGCAAGAUAGGGGAAAUUUCUACAGGCAGCAACUUUCUGAGCAUACUCUUGAACACAAUUGAUGUCUCUAUAAAAGAAGAUACAGCAAAGCCGCUUGUUCAAAGAUCGAAGAGGCACCGCUCUCCGAAUUUCAAAAGCCAGAUUUUCCUGAAUAAAGUUCGUUGGCAUUUUUCAGACGUAAUCCCAGCUUUUUCAGAUAUUGCGUGCAACUUUGUCAAAGAUCUCUGACAAAGUUGAAAACGCGUAAAUCUUACUGUUCUAUUUACACCACAGUUGCUGACAAGAGUAAAAGCACAGCACCACCACUUGCUAUUGAGAAAUCUCUAUAUAUGUCGACCUCUGUUCUCCAUAACAAGGCAGACCCGCAACACUGCAAGAAUACCUAACUCUUCCUCAUCUCCGAGAAUGCAUCUUCAACAUAGCAUCUCGAAAUACUCAGUUUUCUUCCUCUCCGAGAAUACCUCUUCAAACAUGUCACACCAGAGCAAGAUUAUCACAUAUCUUCAGGGACCAGAGCAAGAUUAUCUCAUAUCAUGCAAUCUCCCUGUCCUUUCAUUUGUCCUUGUUCUUGCCUGCGAAGACAAGGAUAAAGAAAGCAAUAUGUCGGAACCUCCACUCAAACUCUCGGUAAGGAACCGACUGCCUAGAACCUUUCCUGAUUGCUUACCUAGUGUUGCUCUCGAGUAGUCAUCUUCAACAGUUGGAGCUGGAUCUCCAGUCACCAAGAAGUGAUGAAUCAUCCAAAUGCAAGGGUUGCACUCCACUCCGGCAUCAGAGGGCAAAUACUGCCGGAGAAGAUGCCACACAUGCAUGGGGGAAAAGCAGGGAAAAUACUACUUAAGCAAGGGGAGCAAGUAAGGAAAGUGAAAAUGAUACAUUGAAGCAUGUGGAGACAAGCGCAACAAACGCGUGCUGAUUCAUCCCUGACAAAACUGAAGAUCACUUGCCACAUGAAGCUCCUCAUGGUCCAAUUUCAUUCAAGAUCAAGCCUCGAAGGUCCUUGAAGAAAUCACAAGUCCGAUUCAAGAUCAAGUGUCCACCACACUUGAAUCAAAUCUGCUCCAGAUCAAAUGAGUAAAUUCAGACCUUUGGAUGCAAGUCUAGCAGAAAGUCCUCUAGCCCAGUUCAAGAACAAGCCUGUGGAAAGUUAACAACAAGUAAAGCACCUCUUUCGACAACUCUUUUCUCUAAAGAGAUUGAAGCAGAAUGAUCAACGAUCAGCCUAAAUGGUUUGAAAUCAGGGGGAGAUACUCAUCAGGGGGAGCAUUCAAAACAGAUCAAGAUUUUAACGAGUCAAUUGAAAACUUGUGGCCAUCCAAGGGGGAGUGUUGUAAAGGUGAAUGGAUGGCUGGCCACUAACCCAUUCAUUUGCCUUUCACUAUGCUGCUUGUGACUUGCUUCUAUAAAAGCAAGCCUUAUGAAACACAACAUAGAUAUAGAUGAAUGUGAGAGGUUCACGGGAGAGAAAGGAAGAAAAAGAAAGAGGAAGAGAGAAAUGAGAGGAAGAGGAGAUGAGAUAAUAGAGAGAGUUAUCUUUGUACUCCUAUUAUUUUAAAUUAUAAUGAAAGCACCACUGCUGCCCCGAUGACGUACUCCAGUCACACUGACUGUAGAGGAACCUCGUAAAUUUUGUGUCUUGUUUCAUUUAUUCCACUGCACCCACAGUCGAUUUUACAACAAUAUAUUAUAUAUAUUAAUGUUAUGUUUCCUUUUUUGUUUCUUCCCAAAUCUCCCCCCAUGUUUUGCCGAAGGUUUUUGCCAAUUGUUUCCUUUUUUAUUUAUUUCCCCCUUUUUUUUUUCUUCCCAAAUCUCAACCCCCCUCAAUGUUUUGUCGUGUCUUAGGUUUUAAUACUCCCUCCCCUUUCUUUCUUUCCCAGUUUUCUUUCUUUCUUUCUUUCCCAGUUUUGCCGUGUCCUAACAUCUCUAUCAAAUAUAAUUAAGAACUAUAGAUAAUACUAUUUGAAAUAAAACUUUGAUCAAACCAAAAGUUGUUAAACACCCUCACUCGAACCCAAAAACCCCCAAUUAAAAGAAAAGAAAAUAACCCUAAUACAGCUAUAUAUGUGGGUUAUUCAUGUCACACGAUCAAAGCAACUAUUGUAUAAAGAAAGAAAAGAAACUUACAGAUUCUUGGUUGCUUUCCAUGAUAAAAUUGAAGUGGGUGCAGAAUAUGUUUUUAUUUUUUUUUUAAAGAAAGAAAGAAACGAAACUGGGAAAGAAAAAAAGGGAGGGAGUUUUGAAGCCUAAGACCUUCGGCAAAACAUUGGGGGGGGGGAUUUGGGAAGAAACAAAAAAGGGGGAAAGAAAUAAAAAAGGAAACAUUUCGCAAAAACCUUCGGCAAAACAUGGGGGGGGGAUUUGGGAAGAAACAAAAAAGGAAACAUAACAUUAAUAUAUAUAAUAUAUUA
rnacentral:lncRNA from 1 species